UGGGGAAUAUUGCACAAUGGGGGAAGCCCUGAUGCAGCGACGCCGCGUGAGCGAAGAAGUAUUUCGAUAUGUAAAGCUCCAUCAGCAGGGAAGAAGAUGACGGUACCUGACUAAGAAGCCCCGGCUAACUACGUGCCAGCAGCCGCGGUAAUACGUAGGGGGCAAGCGUUAUCCGGAUUUACUGGGUGUAAAGGGAGCGUAGACGGCGUAUCAAGUCUGAUGUGAAAGGCAUGGGCUCAACCCGUGGACUGCAUUGGAAACUGGUAUGCUUGAGUGCCGGAGGGGUAAGCGGAAUUCCUAGUGUAGCGGUGAAAUGCGUAGAUAUUAGGAGGAACACCAGUGGCGAAGGCGGCUUACUGGACGGUAACUGACGUUGAGGCUCGAAAGCGUGGGGAGCAAACAGGAUUAGAUACC
rnacentral:rRNA from 1 species